CAAAAUUUGCCCCCUGGAAACAACGCAUAACAAUAAAGAUUAUCUAUAAUAUUUUCAAGAUAAUCGAGUGACCGAUCUAACAAUGGAAAUACAUGUCCUCGAAGAUGGAAGGCAUGCGGGAGGUGGCGAGAUCAGUUCAGCCAAUUAUGGACUUCCAUGACCAGCCCCUUCCUUUGGCUGUCACGACUUCCGACGAAGUCGGCUCCUCUCCUUGUUCGGGCGGCGUUCGGCGAUCGACGUCACAGGCUUUCUAGCCAUCACCGCUCCAUUUCUCAUAUAUCCAUUUGUUUUGUCUUGUUUCAUACACACCUGGUUUUCAUUCCAUAAUCACACUGCGUGCAUUUAGUCCUCUGUUCCCCUCCAUGUCUUUGUGUGUAAUUGUUUAUUGUUACGUGGAUAUUUGUCAGGCGCUGCACUUUUGUUAUGUACCGUGUUUUUGGCACUAGUAUGUUUUAUGUGCUGUCAUUGUUGACCGGUAUUAAAGUGCGCCUGUUUACUGUAAUCCGCUCUCCUGCACUUGACUUCGCCUCCCAUAUACACGACUAACAUUGGCAGUGUGUUGAUACUAAUUUACUUACAGAAAAAAAGCAGGUGGAUAUAAUAUAAUCAUUACUUUAUUUUUUAUUGCAUCAUAACAUACAUAUUAUAUAUUAUAAAUGUGGAUUUGUACACUACAAUCUUCAUUGUAACAUGUUAUAAAAUAUUCAGGCUCAAAAAACGAAGCACUAAAAACUUUACCAAACAGUUAAUACAUUUCAUUGUUUGCCCAUUGAGAAAAGAAAAUGUAAAAAGAAAAUCUUCAACAUAAGAACAAAAAGAAGAGCCAAGCAUAGACUGGUCACUGUUAAAACCACUAAGGGACAGAUACAGUUACAAAGGCAGGGGGUAGUAGGGGGCACUCAGUUACGCUUAAUGCUUUGUUCGUAACCAAGUGAGAAGUGGGAAUUUACCACAUACAACUGGGGAAAAAUCCACUUGAACGGGCCUCCAACUGGUAAUUACUUGUGGGAAACUCAUUCACCAUCCUGAGCUCCCCUUUCUCCUACAUGCUGACAUCAUCUACUAAGGACAUAACCUCAAAACUGCAUUUCCGGCAGUUAAAUGCAACAAACAUUAUUUAUAAAAAAUCUAUUAAUAUAGUUUUUGAACACUAUAAUUUGUUUACAAGUGUGACAGCUGUACUUUUAGUUUAUGGUUUUCGCAGCUUGUUGGUCAUUAGUCAAUCAGCGUUUCUCGACGAGUUCAAAGCAGGUAAUUGCAACCAACUAGUAUUUACGACUUCACAACUUGUAAAUUCCCACCUCCCACUUGG